rnacentral:ribozyme from 1 species
AAGGAAGAAUCAUUGGAGAAGAACACAAGAGAAAGACUGGAGAGAAGGAGUAAAGGUUGCAAGGGGUGUUUCAUUUUGUUCUUGUUGUUCUUAUUCUUCGUUUUUUC